AGCGAACGCUGGCGGCGUGGAUAAGGCAUGCAAGUCGAGCGAUCCCCGUAAGGGGAUAGCGGCAAACGGGUGCGUAACGCGUAGGUAACCUACCCUGAAGUGUGGGAUAACCCAACGAAAGAUGGGCUAAUACCGCAUGUGUCCCGAGGCCCGCAUGGGUCUUGGGAGAAAGAUGGCCUCGACCGCAAGGUUGCUAUCACUUCAGGAGGGACCUGCGUCCCAUCAGCUAGUUGGUAGGGUCACGGCCUACCAAGGCUUUUGACGGGUAGCUAGUCUUAGAGGACGGUUAGCCACACUGGGACUGAGACACUGCCCAGACUCCUACGGGAGGCUGCAGUCGAGAAUCUUUGGCAAUGGGCGAAAGCCUGACCANGCGACGCCGCGUGCGGGAUGAAGGCCUUCGGGUCGUAAACCGCUGUUGCGAGGGACGAAAGCGUGUGCUGUGAACAACAGCGUACGCCUGACGGUACCUCGAUAGAAAGCCCCGGCUAACUCCGUG
rnacentral:rRNA from 1 species